UAGGGAAUCUUCGGCAAUGGACGAAAGUCUGACCGAGCAACGCCGCGUGAGUGAAGAAGGUUUUCGGAUCGUAAAACUCUGUUGUUAGAGAAGAACAAGGACGUUAGUAACUGAACGUCCCCUGACGGUAUCUAACCAGAAAGCCACGGCUAACUACGUGCCAGCAGCCGCGGUAAUACGUAGGUGGCAAGCGUUGUCCGGAUUUAUUGGGCGUAAAGCGAGCGCAGGCGGUUUCUUAAGUCUGAUGUGAAAGCCCCCGGCUCAACCGGGGAGGGUCAUUGGAUACUGGGAGACUGGAGUGCAGAAGAGGAGAGUGGAAUUCCAUGUGUAGCGGUGAAAUGCGUAGAUAUAUGGAGGAACACCAGUGGCGAAGGCGGCUCUCUGGUCUGUAACUGACGCUGAGGCUCGAAAGCGUGGGGAGCAAACAGG
rnacentral:rRNA from 1 species